AUUGAACGCUGGCGGCAGGCCUAACACAUGCAAGUCGAGCGGAUGAAGGGAGCUUGCUCCUGGAUUCAGCGGCGGACGGGUGAGUAAUGCCUAGGAGUCUGCCUGGUAGUGGGGGAUAACGUCCGGAAACGGGCGCUAAUACCGCAUACGUCCUGAGGGAGAAAGUGGGGGAUCUUCGGACCUCACGCUAUCAGAUGAGCCUAGGUCGGAUUAGCUAGUUGGUGGGGUAAAGGCCUACCAAGGCGACGAUCCGUAACUGGUCUGAGAGGAUGAUCAGUCACACUGGAACUGAGACACGGUCCAGACUCCUACGGGAGGCAGCAGUGGGGAAUAUUGGACAAUGGGCGAAAGCCUGAUCCAGCCAUGCCGCGUGUGUGAAGAAGGUCUUCGGAUUGUAAAGCACUUUAAGUUGGGAGGAAGGGCAGUAAGUUAAUACCUUGAUGUUUUGACGUUACCAACAGAAUAAGCACCGGCUAACUUCGUG
rnacentral:rRNA from 1 species